rnacentral:lncRNA from 1 species
UCAGACCCUGGGCUCCUGGUCCUAACCCUGGGCCUUUUCCACUUUACUCCUCUGUUGCCCGCCUCUCCCAUCCAUGGGGUCAGAGACGUUGGCUCCCGAGGGUCCACCUGAGCACCCCGGGGGCGGCGAGGCCGAGAAGGUUCCAGGAUACCCGGACUGACGAGAGUCUCAGCGAACCUUCAGAACCCAACUGAGACUCCUGCAGAGACAGCAAGACAAGGAACAGGACGCAGAGGUCUCAGGAAGAGCGAGAGGCUGUUUAAGAAAACAAAGGAGGACACAGCAGAGAGGAGCAAGGAGACGGCCAGCGGGGGACAGUGGGGUAAGUGCAGGAAUGGCUCGGGUGGAGCCCCUGAAGUCAGCAGCAAAGAUUAUUACACUCAUUGUUAUAGCUCAUAACGAAUCCUAGUGAACAGUAAAACAGGUACUCAGUUAAGGUGUUCUGAUGACGGCAUGACAGGGAAACUGAGGCACAAAGAGGUAGGCUCUGCCGGGCUCAGUGGACGCUGGAGUGGAUGACCUCCUUGCUGAGUGUCACCAGAGAGGGCUAAAGAGGAGAUGUAGGUGGGUGCUGUGUUCACUUAAAGCCACGCUGUCCCCUGGUGCCGAGCUUCUCUUACGUGGGAGCAGAACUUUACAGUUUAGGAAGCCCUUUCACAGCCCCUUUAAAGUGCCGCCCUGGGGCAGGCAGGGCAGGGACUGCUGGCCCCACCUGAGAGCUGAG